AAAAGGCGGAGGGUUUGAGGUUCCUUAUUGACUUUUUUUUUUUUUUUUUUUUUUUUUCCUUAUU
rnacentral:ribozyme from 1 species